rnacentral:rRNA from 1 species
AGAGUUUGAUCCUGGCUCAGGACGAACUCUGGCGGCAUGCCUAACACAUGCAAGUCGAACGGAGUUGUUAUUCAGAAGUUCUUCGGGAUGGAAGGAUAAGAACUUAGUGGCGGACGGGUGAGUAACGCGUGGGUAACCUGCCCUUUUGUGGGGAACAACUUCGAGAAAUCGGAGCUAAUACCGCAUAAUAAUAGAGGAUCGCAUGAUUCUUUAAGGAAAGAUGGCCUCUGAAGAUGCUAUCGCAAAAGGAUGGACCCGCGUCUGAUUAGCUAGUUGGAAGGGUAACGGCCUACCAAGGCAACGAUCAGUAGCCGGCCUGAGAGGGUGAACGGCCACAUUGGGACUGAGACACGGCCCAAACUCCUACGGGAGGCAGCAGUGGGGAAUCUUCCGCAAUGGGCGAAAGCCUGACGGAGCAAUGCCGCGUGAGUGAAGAAGGCCUUCGGGUUGUAAAACUCUGUCCUUAUCGAAGAGAGGUAGGUAUGUGAAUAAUGUACCUAUAGGACGGUAGAUAAGGAGGAAGCCCCGGCUAACUACGUGCCAGCAGCCGCGGUAAUACGUAGGGGGCGAGCGUUGUCCGGAAUCACUGGGCGUAAAGGGCGCGUAGGCGGUUUAAUAAGUCAGUGGUGAAAACUGAGGGCUCAACCCUCAGCCUGCCACUGAUACUGUUAGACUUGAGUAUGGAAGAGGAGAAUGGAAUUCCUAGUGUAGCGGUGAAAUGCGUAGAUAUUAGGAGGAACACCAGUGGCGAAGGCGAUUCUCUGGGCCAAGACUGACGCUGAGGCGCGAAAGCGUGGGGAGCAAACAGGAUUAGAUACCCUGGUAGUCCACGCCGUAAACGAUGGAUACUAGGUGUUAGUAGUUUCGAUGCUACUAGUGCCGGAGUAAACACAAUAAGUAUCCCGCCUGGGGAGUACGGUCGCAAGACUGAAACUCAAAGGAAUUGACGGGGGCCCGCACAAGCGGUGGAGCAUGUGGUUUAAUUCGACGCAACGCGAAGAACCUUACCAAGACUUGACAUCCUCCUGACAAGAUAUGUAAUGUAUCUCAUUUCUUCGGAGACAGGAGAGACAGGUGGUGCAUGGUUGUCGUCAGCUCGUGUCGUGAGAUGUUGGGUUAAGUCCCGCAACGAGCGCAACCCUUAUUUCUAGUUGCCAGCAGUAAGAUGGGGACUCUAGAGAGACUGCCAGUGACAAACUGGAGGAAGGUGGGGAUGACGUCAAAUCAUCAUGCCCCUUAUGUCUUGGGCUACACACGUGCUACAAUGGUCAGAACAGAGGGAAGCGAAGCCGCGAGGUGGAGCAAAUCCCAGAAAACUGAUCUCAGUUCGGAUUGCAGGCUGCAACCCGCCUGCAUGAAGUCGGAAUCGCUAGUAAUCGCGGGUCAGCAUACCGCGGUGAAUACGUUCCCGGGCCUUGCACACAAGGCCCGUCA